rnacentral:lncRNA from 1 species
UCACUGCCCCUCAGGGGGCAGGGGGCUGGUGAUUCCUGAGGGAGCCCUGCCCCCUUCCAGGGUGAAUUUUCCUAAGUCACCAUGGAGAACCAGCAGCCCAGAAUCAGUGCCCUGCCAGGCAGAAUUGCUUGGCCAUAACAAAGAUCCAUUGCCUUUCUGAUGACACCCAGCACCUCGGAUUCUGUAUACACGGGAGGUGAUUUAAGCAUCUUACUGCCACCCUGAAAUCUGGGGUCCUUUAUCCUGGCAGCAUCUAGACCCGUAACGCCCACUUCAGAAUGGGAGGGAGGAUGUCUGCUGCCCUGUCGUCUCCACACCCGAGGAAUGUCCGUGUGUGUGUGUGUGUGGUGUGCACAGCGGGCUGCACACAGCGGGCUCCACGGUGCUCGAAUGGAGGCCCUAAUGUGAAUGGAGACUAGCCUGCUGGUAGAGACCUUGGCAGUGACCGCUGUGGGCAAUGAGCCAUGGGCCAACAAUAUUCAAUGCUGUGUACCUGAUGGAUGGUUACUGUCUGAGACUGAGGCUUUUUGGGCCAGGAGUAAAAGGACUUGGUUUGUACUUGAUUGCGUCCUGUGGAUGCUUGCCUACCAACUGACUCAUCCUGACGUGCCAAAGGUCCUGGCUUUCCCCUGUGUGGGUAAGGGAAGAAGAGAGUUCUAAUGAAGACUAUAGCAGACUGAAUUACUCUCUGAGAUGAGGACUUUGCUAUUGCCAUUGCAGAACCACUGGUGGAAGUUGUUGUUAAACAGUGGGUCUUGCAUGCAAGCUCUACAGUUAUGCACAGUAUUUCCAUGACAUCCCAAGCCAUGAGGUUCAUGCUGCCAUAUCCCCCUGUUUAACAAGUGUGGAAACUGAUAAUGGACUCACAAUUGCUGAUGUAUAGGUUCUAAUGUUUUCUAUUGUGGACACGGGACACCCAGACUGAGAACCAAUGGCUCCAGUCUGAUUUAAACAUGGGUCCGUGCUCACACACUCAAUACCUACCCUCUGUGCUCACAAGUCCUGUGUGAGUAAGACUCCAAAUUAUUCUGUCUUGUUUUACUCAAUGGUAUGCUCUACCUUAUUAUAGAGUAUACCAUGUAUUGAGACAAGAAUGCCAGUCAUUCUGAGAAACAAAAUGCAACCAUUAGUUGUCAUUUUAAUUAGUGACGAAUAGUUGUGUCAAUCAUCAAACAUGCUUGUAUAAUUGGAUGAGAAGAGGUGUAACACGGGCCAAUGAUGACGAGGUUUCGGGAUUAUAAGUCACGGACGAUGACUACGUCACUAGAGGUCUGAGGUCCAUAGCAGAAGAUGCCUCAUGUGACCCUCUCAUGCAGGGGUUGCAUGUCAGGCAUGUGCAUACAGUAGAUAUUAGCCAUGCACUCUCACCAUUUCAUAGUAGAUCACAGAAUCAAGAUACAAAUCUCCAUGCACGGAAAGGAUUUAAGGCAUUGAUCAAUCCUGAACAUAAAUAUUUGGCCAUCAAUGAUAUUUACGCACACACUGAAAAAUCUAUUCAGAAUGACUUACACAAAGGUUUAUAUAACCUUUAUCAAAGGUAAUUUAUAUAGUAAGAUUCAUGGCUGAAGUCUUCAUGAUGGUCAAGGCCUUAAUUUUUAAAAUUAUCAAUUUUUUUCUUUUCUUUUUUUUUAACUUGAAUUUUUUUUUAAUGAAAACUAUCAUGACAAUUUGUCUCUUAAAUGAAAGGAGAAAUGUAAAACUAAAUGGACAAAUAUCAACCUUUUUAUUAUCUUUGCUGUUGUGCCCUCCCUGGAUGGGUGCUGGCACAUGAUGUCUUGCCUGCUGGUCCGUGGUUGCACUCUCACCAUGUGGAUGGAGCUCGGCAGCUGAAAAUGCAUUCUUCCACCAAGAUGAUUUACACAGCCUAGCUGGAUCAGGAGCCCCCUAAUAAGCUGCUUCAGAUUGUAAUAUAGACACAGUAAUGUAUGCCUGCAGGAUGAGUCCCACCUUCUUCAUUAGUCUUGAGGUUUGAGAUUCCCUGUUUGUGUCUGCAGGAUUCAGAUAGUAAUGGAUAUCCUGCAAGUCGGCUUCGUAGAGUCUCCCUUGAAAGUGGACCUCAUGAUCUAGCCUUUAUGUCCGUGGAUUGACACUGUGAUGGAUUCCCCCCAAGUUCAUUUAGAUAUUCUCUCUUAUUCAUAAAUGUCACGGUCAGCUCUGUUCUUAUAGAUACCAGAAUGGAUACCCCUAAGCUGAUGUAUAUACACCCUUCCUCGGUUGUGAGAUUCCUGCUCUGGUGGUUGUAGUCAUAAGAUAUACAUCGUUGCGUACACCUUGGUUGUGGGCACGCACACUACUGUUGAAUUACCACCUUGUCCAAGUGGAUGGAUGCCCUCAAUGGGAUUGGCACUUUCUCCAUUGCUCCUGCACUCUGUUAUCAGCACUUCGGGUUCAUAAUGUACACACAGCAAUGGAUUUUCUGCAGCUGAUUUUCUAUAUUCUGUUUUCUUCGGGUAAGCAGAAACAGAUGCCUUCCUCACUGGUCACCAGGUUCAAGGUCCCUCAUAUGUGUCAGGUGCAUAGUCACCAACAAAGGCCAACUUCACAUCAAUGGGUGGAUCGUACCUCGGCCUAAGCUCCAGGAUUGAUUGUGCUGUUAGAGUCACAGCUACAACCGGCUCAGGGAACCCAGUGGAAGAGGAGGUGGAGUGUGAGAGCCAAUUGGAAUGGAAGACAGUGAGGAAACAAGGCCUUCGAGACACAAGAGGACUGCUGAGCUCACAAAGACUGAGGCAGCACCCUCAGGACCUGCACAGGUCUAAGCUUGAUGCGAUCUGAGUACUGAGAGGGCAACUGGACACAAUUCUAUAUUGAUAACCCAGAAGCUUUCUCCAGUUGAUAAACUCUUUCAAAGGAAAAACUUGUUUUCUACCAUGGAGUGACACUGGAUAUAGAAACUACCGUUAACAGCAGACUCCAUGGCUCAGACUUCCAAUACAAUAUGAACUCAGUUGCAAUUUUUUGCAAGGUUUUUCGACUCAUAGUUCUUUGUCUGGGUACUUUUUCACCCUACAGAGAAUUUCUGUAUAUAUUAUCGUUUCUGAUUCUAGUGUUUUGAAUUUUCGCUGGGUCUAAAUAUCUCUGUCUCAGUGUCAGUAUGUGUUUCUCAUGAUUUUUCUUUGCUUCUCUUUUUCCUAUUCUUUGCUUGUAUUCCCUGGUUUGUGUUUGAGUGUCUGGGAACUCUGAGGGUCUGGUUGGUGAUAUUGUUGUUCUUCCUAUGGGGUUGAAAACCCCUUCAGCUCCUUCAGCCUUUCACUAAGUCCUCCAUUAUUAUGAUUCCUAUGCUCAGUCCAGUGGUUGGAUGUGAGCCCCCCCCCCCCUCUGCAUUUGUCAGGCUCCGGCAGAGCCUCUAAGGAGAUAGCUAUAUUAGGCUCUUGUCAGCUUUGUUUGUUUUUAUUCUGUCUUCUCUAUACUGUUUAUUUUAGAUAACUGUGUUUAUUCUAAUGUAUGAAUGAAUAAAUGGGUGUGUGUUUGGGUGGGUGGGGAAUUGGGGAGGGUGGGGGUGGAUGUGGGAGGGGAAACUGUAACACAAAUACAUUGUAUAAAAGUACAUUUUAAUAAAUGUAUUUCUUCUAUGACUAAAAAAA